rnacentral:rRNA from 1 species
UACAGAGGUCUCAAGCGUUGUUCGGAUUCAUUGGGCGUAAAGGGUGCGUAGGUGGCGCCGUAAGUCAGGUGUGAAAUUUCGGAGCUCAACUCCGAAACUGCAUUUGAUACUGCGGUGCUUGAGGACUGGAGAGGAGACUGGAAUCCACGGUGUAGCAGUGAAAUGCGUAGAUAUCGGCAGGAACACCCAGGGGGAAACCAGUGGACUGGCACGGUGCUGACGCUCAGGUGCGAAAGCGUGGGGAGCGAACCGG